ACAAAAGUGACCCUUUGUCCAGGUCGCACCAGGACACCUGCGGGCGUGGUGUGAGGGACCCACAGGUCCUAGCUCCUGAACAGGGCCCACAGAGCCUGGCCCUAGUUCGUUGGCUCCAGGCUGCAGGCGCCGGUCAGAUCUUCAUCUCCAGCCUUUCAAGCACCUGAUGCCCUCAUGGAUAAAAAGGAGGCCCCAGUGCAGUGGACUCACUCCCGAAGCCACAGAAUCACUUUGUAGAGGGACACAGUCUGAGGCAAAGUAGUGGUCUGAACUAGGGCGUGGUCAGGACACCAGGCUACUUCGCGUCCUUGCCCACCCUAGUUCCCUCGGGACCACCCCUAGUCUCAGGACAGCGGGUACCCAGACCGCGGGGUUGCUGGCCGCGGCGCCCCCUGCUGGCCGACAACUGUUGGGAGGUCGAAGCUCCAGCUCAGUUUGCAAACCCUCUGGCCCAGAUGCUUUGUGCAGAUGUUCCACCCUUCCUUGUGGAGCUCGGGAUCCGCGGAAAAGGCAACUUUAAGGAGAUUAUGGUAUGGAGGCCAGGUUGGAGAGAGCUGCAGGCUUAGGCUCGAGGGCCUGAGGCAGGAGGUGGUUCGGAAGGCCAAGGGCUAUGGGGGCUUGGCCCAGCCACAGAAUGGACAUGGUUACAGUGGCCGCGAGGUUGUUCAGGAUGUGCUAGAGUACUGCGUCCCAGAAUAUUCUCAAGAACAAGAGCAGAGUACCCUAUUCUUUCAGACAGCUGACUUAUUUUUAAAGCAAAUUCUUCCUAAUCUAAUACUCUGAGUCACUUUAAACAGUGCAGAGAACUGAAUAGAAACCUAAUAAAAUCUGCAAAAAGGUA